rnacentral:lncRNA from 1 species
GGGGUUUGAAAGCCUUUUGGAUUAUCAAAGGGAUUUCUGAAACACUUUAAACACCUUGAGUUUGUAUAAUUCUUAUGUUAGGAGUUGGAGAGAUUGGGAAACACUUAAGUAUAAAAUAUUGUUUAGUUUGGGAAUUCCAAAUGUUAUUUUCAUGUAAUUCAUUAUGUAAUCUCUUGUAACAACGAUUCAAGUAUAAUGAAUAAGAUAAUUGCUAUCUCUACCAAACUUA